rnacentral:rRNA from 1 species
UACGUAGGAGGCAAGCGUUGUCCGGAGUUACUGGGCGUAAAGGGCGCGCAGGCGGCCGGUCGCGUUCCUGGUGAAAGCUCCGAGCUAAACUCGGAGAGGUUCAGGAAAACGGGUCGGCUUGAGCGUCGGAGAGGGGCAUGGAACUCCGGGUGGAGCGGUGAAAUGCGUAGAGAUCCGGAAGAACACCAAUGGCGAAGGCAGUGCCCUGGCCGACUGCUGACGCUCAGGCGCGAAAGCGUGGGGAG